GGAGGAGUGCCUGAGUGGUUUAAAGGAACAGUCUUGAAAACUGUCAUAUCCGAAAGGGUAUCGUGAGUUCGAAUCUCACCUCCUCCGCCA
rnacentral:tRNA from 1 species